rnacentral:lncRNA from 1 species
GACUGAGGACACUGUAUUAUCCAUAUUUUGGUGAUGGAUUAAGCUUGAAUUUAGAUAAUAUUUUUUUAAAUUGUAGGAGCAUGCGUGCUUUGAGUUUUAGAUGGAAUAUCAAUGGAUUGCCAGAUUCAAUUGGAAAGUUGAAACACCUGAGGUACCUUGAAUUGUUUAGAAAUACUAAAAUCAGUUCACUUCCAAACUGCAUUUGCAGCUCGUAUAAUUUGCAAACUCUAAUACUGUUGGAAUGUCGGGUUCUUAAAGAAUUACCUACAGACAUGAGGAAAUUGAUUUGUCUCGGACAACUUAUUAAUAAGGGUUGUAGUAGCCUUGAAUUCAUGCCAUUGGGGUUGGGGAGAUUGACAAAUCUGCAGACUUUGUCAACUUUUGUUGUGGGAAGUGAUCAAGGAAGGAGAUGUUCCUCAUUGAAUGAGUUGAAUAGCUUAAACCGGCUAAGAGGUAAAAUCUCCAUUAAAGGACUAGAAAAUGUGAAAAAUGCAGCUUUGGAGUCCAGCCGAGUAAAUCUCAAGGAAAAGAAAUACCUUCUCUGCUUAAGAUUAAGGUGGGAUGGCAAGGGAGAUAGCAAUAGUGGAAAUAGUGAGUUGUUGUUGGAUAACCUACACCCUCACCCGAACUUGAAAGAAUUGAACGUUAUGUUCUAUGAAGGUGUGAGGUUUUCAAAUUGGCUUUCUUCUAUAUCUAAUCUCGUCAAUAUUACUUUAUAUAAAUGUCCGAAAUGUGAGCAUUUGCCGCCAUUGGACAAUCUGCCUUAUCUGGAAAUUCUCAAUCUUAGCUAUUUCGAUUCUCUGGAGUACAUAUCAGAUGAAGAUAAUUUAUUCUCUUCUUUAUCUGCAUCAGCAGCAACAUUCUUUCCAUCUCUAAAGAUUCUUAAACUCGAAGUUUGCCCUAAUCUGAAAGGGUGGUGGAGAACAUUUAUGGAAGCAAAGAUGGUGCCUCAAUUUCCUUGUCUUUCUAAAUUAACCAUCGCGAAUUGCCGUAACCUGACUGUGAUGCCAACGUUUCCAUCAGUAGACAUGGAGCUUCAUCUUGCCUAUGCCCACAUAAGACCAUUGCAUUAUACAUUGCAGAUGUCUGCAACGGCUUCUGGAGUACCAUCAACCUCUUCUUUAGUUACUUCUCCUUUUUCCAAAUUAAAGACUUUGUGGUUACAGGGUUUUGAGAAUCUAGCAUCUCUACCUGGAGAGUGGAUGCAGAACCUCAGCUUCCUUGAGGAACUAUUUCUUAGCAACUGCAUGGAAAUUAGUGAUGAGGAUGAGCGUGGCAUAUCCAAAUGGAGAUAUCUUGUUAGUCUCCGAGAUCUCUCUCUCUAUAAUCUUUCAAAUCUGGUGUCUCUACCAAGGGAGCUUCAAUAUGUUACCACCUUGCAACGUCUCACUAUCUACGACUGUUCUAAUUUGAGGGCUUUGCCUGACUGGAUAGGCAACCUCACAGCACUCGAAAAUCUACAUAUCGAUGGCUGCCCUAAACUGGAAUCGCUACCAAGAGGAAUGCAUCAAAUAACUACUUUACAACAAUUUAGUGUUCGCCGUUGCGCCCAUUUGUCUGAAAGAUGCGGACACGAUACGGCUGCAGAUUGGCCCAACAUUUCUCACAUCCCAAAUAUCCGCAUAAAUGGAAAUGAUAUUCAAAAGGAGGGCCGGUAUUUACUGUAAGAAGAAGGAUCCUCUGCUUUCACAGGUUAGGACUUUCUUCGCUUCAUCCCUUUUUUUUAUUUUUUUAUAUAUAUAUAUAUAUUUUAUUUUAAAUGAAAUCACCUAAUUUUUUUCAAACAAAUACUUCUAUCCAGUAGGCUACUCCAUUCUGUCUUCACCUUAAUUUAAGUUAACUUACUUUUCUGAUUCUAUAUGCAGAGAUGCUGGAAUAUAUGUUGCUCUUAUAUGCCGCCAACCUUUUUCAAAUUUUAGAAUGGCUCUUAUGAUGACAGGUGGAUAACAAAACUAAAAAAUCAAAGACUAUGUUAUUUCUAUCAGUAAAUCACAUUGGAAGCAAUGGGAAUUUGCAUUGUGUAUCUAAAAGUCAAUUGCUCUGCAACUUACGUUGCAUCGUCGCUACUCCUUUGAGAAUGGAGAAGCAAGCCACUCAAAGCAAGGUCUAGGAUCAGAGCAGCAGAUCCUGGAGCCUCAAGGACUGGUAUCUUUCAAGAGUCAACAAGUGUGGUUCUGUGAUAUAAGCAGGGUUGGAAGGAUUUUAAUACCUGGUAUAUUUGCAAUCAUUGUUCUAUCCUGAUAGUGAAUUUUCUGAAUUUAAUUGCAAUAUGUUCAUGUGUUAAUCCUUGCAGGUUACCUAGAAUGCAAGUCAUUUUAAGCAAAGGUUGAGAUCAUUUUUAAUUUGUUGUUUUAUAAUAAUUUGAAAUUUUUGAAGCUUAUCAAAGCAUCUUCGGAUUUGGUCUCUCCUGAAUUAUUUGAGAACAAGAUAGUGGAUGCCAUGAAAUUCCAGAUUCUUUGAGAAUGAGUAGAGGGGAUAGUGGGUGCUAUGAAUUCACUGGUUCUUCUUUCAGAGUAGGCAGCUUUUGACUCAGCCGUGAAGAAAUGGUCUGCUGUUAUGACGAAAAAUGGCUUCAGAAUAGGCAAUGGUAAAUAUCAUAUGACCUUGUGAAUAGUGGUUUAAAAUCAAUGUAGAAGAUUUUGGAAGAGAACUAAUGCUCUCUGACAGAUUUACACGUGAAGAUGGUAAUGAUACUUGCAAACUCAGUGCGCUUCUGAAAGAAGAUGAAUUGGUUGUGUGGGAGGAAGAAUCCUUAAGUUUUUUAAUCUUUCAUUGAGGGGACAGACAUCGUUUAAGGUUGCAAAUCUAAGAGCUGCUCUUUUCUUGUUCUUUUCACAAGUGUCUUCAUUAGUGAGCAUCCAUAAAAAGUAGUGAGCUAUUUCACUUGUGGCAACUACCAAUGAGAAACCUUUAUUAAAAUAUAAGGAGUAAAUUGUAAUUUACUUGUAAGUUUAAUAUGGGUGCAAUUGGCAGCUCAGUACCAUGUUUCCACUCUACCUCUUUGGAUUUGUGUUGUGAAAUGUAAGAUUACUUUAAACUUUGGUAGGCUGGCAAUAGCCAAUCAGCUAUGAAACCUUCCCUCAAGAAAUUCAUAAAAGUUGUGAAAUUUGAUUUUGAAGCCCUUUUUCUCCUUACCGGGAGUAGAAUAUAAAAUAUUUUAAAUUUAUUCGGAUAUAUUUAUUAUUAAAUUAAGUCUAUAAAUUUAAAAUUUAGAGAUAAAAGUUAUUUUUUAAUAAAUGAGUUGAUAAAAUAUAUUAAUUUUUUUUUAAUGAUGACCGUUCAAUUUCUCUAAUUUUCUUUAAAUAUCUAUUAAUGAAAAAAAGAAAAUAUAAAAAAUUUCCACAAAAUUGAUAUAAAUUUUUUUAAUCAUCCCAAAUAUAUUUUUUAAGAAAAUAAUUUAUUUUUAUAAUGUUAAAAAAUAAAGGGAUAAUAUGAUUUUUAAAAAUCAUAUUGUUUUUUAAAAAGUGAAAUUUUUUCUUUAAAAAUUAUUUAGAUUUUUUUUAUUAAUUUUGAGUCUUCAAAUGCUAAAAAAAUGCAAAAAAAAUAUUUUAUUGGAAAAAUGUUUUUUUUUCAAAACAAAUGAGCUUGACUUUGGUGUAUGUUAGAGCUGCUAUAUUAAAAAGGUAGCUCAUUAAAUAUGUUGGUUAGGAAUUAUUAAAAAUUAUUUAUUAAAUUAAUUUAAUAUAUUCUAAUCAUAAAAAUAUCAUAAUAAAUAAAUAAAGUUUCAAACUACAUUCUUUAAGAAAAUCUAAAAUAGUAAAUAUAUAGUAAAUUUUCAAUCACAAUCCUAAAUGUUUUCAUAUUUAAAUCACAAUCCUAAAUGUAUUUGCCUGUAAUAAUGGUGAUGUUAUAUAGCUAAAAGCUAAUUAGACAUGAUGUUAUCAUAAAAUAAUAUCACUUGGUGAGGGUUCAAUAAGUUAAUAUAUAGUUUCACUCAUUUCAAGUGAAAAUUCGAAUGUUACAAACAUUCAUUUUUUAAUAAGAAAUGUUACAUUUUUCUGAAUAAGUCGAAUUUUUAUAUAAAAUUACAAUUAACAUACACAAUUUAGUAAAUCUCUAUAACGCCUCUAAUUAUAGAAUUACUGAUCAAUGAGCUGAAAAAUUUUUUUAUCAAUGAGUCGGCUAUACCAUUGCCAGAUUUUAAAAAAUAUUAUAAUUGACUAUAUUUUCUUACAAAUAUAACAAUUAAUGAUAAAAAAAAUAAAAAUAUUUAAUUCUUAUAUAAUUACUCUUGAAUUCUAAGUAUUUGUUUAUAUUCAUCAUAUUCUCUAAGUUUAUUGAUUCAGUAAUUACCGUAGGCGUCAAUCACCCACAUUAUUUUUCUUGUAAAUUUAAUUCAUUACUGUAUAGCUCUAUUUUUCAAUUAUAUCAAAUGGUCUGUCUUGCUUAUUAAAAAAAUUAUGAAAUACAGUUUAAUUUUCUUUAGCAAAACUAUUUAAAGGUAAAUUAUAUUUUGAUUUUUAUAUUUUAACAUAAUUAACAGAUCAUUUCUAUAUUUUUAAAACUGAAUACUUAAAUUUAUCUAUAAUCAGUUUGUCCAAAUUUGAGAUCUCUCCAUUUAUUUAUUUAUUUUUUUUAAAUUGGAGGUUGGGGGAUUCGAACCUGAAAUCUUCUCAGAUUUACUCGGAUGCACUUACCACCAGGCUAAGCCUGUGAGUGUCUCUCUAUUUAAUUUUACAGUUAAAAGUGUAAAAAUAUCUUUAUUACUCUCUUUAAAUGGAUAAACUACACUUAAAUUUUUAAAUUUUAGCAAAAUUAAUGAAUCGAUUUCUAUAUUUUUGAAAUCGUACAUAUUAAAUCCCUCUAUAAUCAGUUCAUCCUCAUCUAUUAUAAUUUAAACAUUUUGAUCCUUCAUUUUUAUUUGAAAUAACACUAAAGUUCUCAUUAACUUUUAUUUAUAAUAUCUCAUUUAACUAAAUUUUAGCAUUUUUUUCUUUAAUUUUCAUUCAUUAAAAUAUUUUAAUAUUUAUAUUUUCAAAUUUUUUUAAAAAUACUUACAAUUUCAGCUAUUUUAAAUAGGUUAUAAACUUUAUAAAGAGUAUUUUAAGAAUCAAUCAUACUUUUAGAAAAAAUUUAACCAUCUACUAACUUUGAACUAAUAUUUAUAAUUGAUAGAAUAACUGUAAUUUUAGACGAAUUAAAUAUAUAGAGAUUUAAGAAUUUAAUUUAAAAAUUAUAAAGACUUAUUUAUCAAUUAUAUUAAAAUUUAAAAAUCAAAAUAUAAUUAUACAAUAUAAAAUUCUCACUUAUAUUAAAAAUAAUUUAAGUGUUUAUAUAAACAUUUUAAGUAUUUGAAAUAUUUAUUUUUUCUUUAAUCAGUUGAAUAAUGAAAUUAUAAAUGAAAAUAUUUUUUACUUAGAUAAAAUAAUUAUAUAAAAUUUUAAAUUGUAAAUUGAAAUUAAUCUAUUAAUUAUAUUAAAAUUUAAAAAUUAAAGUGUAAUUUUUUUAAAAUUUAAAUUAAAAUAUGUUGCUUUUAGGUAGCAGGCGGUGAUGGCGCGGACUUGCUUUGGAGCUCCGUUUGGGCCGCUAUUUUGUCUGAAUGGCUUAGGCAUGUGGCUACUGGCCUGUCCAAUUCCCUAUCUAACAUAAAUUAAAUAGUAAUAGUAAUUUUUCUCUCAUAUUUAAAUGGGAGAUAAUUUAAUCUUGAUUAUUGCUAUUAUUAAUAAAUUAUUUUUAUAUUUUCAAAAAUUUAUUGAAAUAUCUUUAAUUUUUAUCUUUCGUUAAUAAAAUAGUUAUUUUAUCAUUUUUUUCGUUAAAAAUAAAUAAAAUAUAAGAGAAAAUUUUUAAAAUCCAAUUUUACUCUUAAAUAAAACUCUUUAUUUAAUCAUUAAAUAUUACUAUUAUUAACAAGUCAGUCUCUACAUUUUUAAAAAUCUAUUAAAACGUUAUUAUCUUUUCUUAUAUCUAUUAAAAUAUUCUUAGCGUUUCUUUUUAUUAAUGAAAUAAUCUUUAUUUUUUCUCACAUCUAUUAAAACGUCCUUAUUGUUUACUUCCGUCAACAAAAUAGUCCUUACUUAUCAUUUCUUUCCUCAAUAAAAUAGUCCAUCCCUAUAUUUUCAUAAAUUGAUUAAAAUGUCGUUAUCUUUUUUCAUAUUUAUCAAAACGUCUUUAUUGUUUCUUUCCGUUAACGAAAUAAUCCUUAUAUUUUUUUCACAUCUAUUAAAAUGUUCUUAUCGUUUCUUUCCGUCAACAAAAUAGUCUCUCAUCUUCCUCUUUCUCUUCCUCCUCAAAAAAACAAGAAAAAAAAUGAAGAAAAAAAGAAGAUAAUGAUAAAGAAUAAGAAAAAGAAUAAAAAAUAAAGAAGAAGAAAAAGAAAAAUGAGAAGAAGACGAUGAUGAUGAAGAAAAAGAAUAAAAGGAAAAAUUACUUUCUCCUUUUUAAAAAAGAAGAAUAAAAAGAAAAAUUAAAAUAGAAUCAAAAAAGAAAAAGAAAAAGAAGAAGAAUAAGAAGAAGAAGAUAAAGAACCGAUGAAGAAGAAGGAGAAGGAGGAAGACAAGAGGGAUAAUUUGAUUUUUUAUUAUAUUUUUAAUGGUAAAAAUAAAUGAAAUGAUUAUUUUAUUGAUAAAUAGAAAAGAUAAUGACGUUUUAAUAAGUUUCUAAAAUUGUAGGGAGUAAUAUCCAAAAAUUAAAUUAUAAAUCAACCUAAUUAAAUUAAUCAUAUUAAUAUGUCAAAAAUAAAUCAAAUGAAUUAUUAGAUUUUUAAGUAUGAAAUAUACAUAAUAAAUUAAUAAUUUAAAUAAACAAGAUACCAAAUUUUGAAUUUUAAACUAAACUAGUUUAUUUUUUUUUUAAAAAAUAUUAUUUUCAUUUCUCAUUUCUCUUUUAUAUAAUAUUAAAAAAUUAUUAUUUAAUUUUUAUAAUAUAAAAAAUUAUAAAUUAAUUUUUUUAAUUUAAAAAAUAUAAUAAAAUAUUUUAAAUAUUUUACUAAUUAAUUCUUCUAUUAACAUUUGUAAUAGAGAUAAAUUAAUUAAUAAUUUUUUUAAAAAUAUAAAAAAUUAAUUAAUUAAUUUUUUAAAAUUAUAAAAAUUAAAUAAUAAAAUUUUUAAAAAUAAAAAUUAAUAAAAUAAAUAAUCAGUAAAUAUUUUUAAAAUAUUAUAAUAUUUAUAUAUUUUUUUUAAAAUUAAAAAAUUUCUUUAUAGUAUAAAGAAUAAAUACUAAUUUUUGCAGUAAUAUUUUGUGAUUUUAAUUUGGCAUUGACUCGAUCAUGAAGUCUUUGUCUUUGUCGGUACUAAAUACAUAAAUUCUAAUUUAAUUUAUUUUAAUUUUAGUUUGUUUGGUGUGGGUCUGUGCACACAUCUCUGGUGUCCAUAAAGUCUCCAUAAAUACUCUCCGAGUCAGAUGUGACUCUGCCUGAACAGCCCUUAAAGCUUUAUAAUAAAAAUCAUACUAAAUUAAAUUUGUUUUUAUUUUAUUUUAUUUUUUAUUUUUUAUUAUUUUACUGAAAACCCAAUUAAAAUAGUAUUAAACUGGUAUCGUAUCCAAACUCACAUUAUAUACAUAUUUUUUAUAAUUUUUAUAUUAUAUAUAAUAAUUUAUAUUUUAAUUUUUAAUAUAAUGAUCAAAUCAAUUUUUAUAUUCUUAACAUAAAAAAUUUAAACUUCUCUAUAAUUCAUCCAUUCAAAUUAAAUAUUCUAUCAUUCAUCUCUUAUUAUUAAAAAUAUUAUUAUUCUUUUAAAUAAAUAAACUAAAUUUUAAUUCUUAAAUUUAAGUAUAAUUAUUUAAUUUAUUUUAUGUAACGACCCGGAAACCGGACCACUACCGGCGCUAGGAUCCAAAUCGGCUUAAGGCAGCCGGAACCCGUAGCAAGCCUAACAUGCAUCCUGAGAACCUGUAUAAUCUCAUACAUGAUCAACAAACAUACAUAAAAACUGUAAACUUUUUUCUUUUUCUUUUCAUACAUUCUUUCAUAUACCAAACUCAACCUGAUCAUACCAUAACUAUACAUUGAUCCCUCUGUGGGAUCUCAUCAAUGCCCCAAUGGGCUACAUACAUAUGUUGAGUUGGUUUACAUCUGUGACAUAAAACAUCUAGGAUCAUAUAAUAAAAGGGACAACAUCAUAGGGUCAAGCACAUCUCUAAACCUCAAUCAUCAUCAUCAUUACAUAACAUACUAUACAAUACUCUUACAUCAUAUUACAAUUUUCAUGUCCACUACCUAUCUAUUACAAGCAUAAAACAUUACUCUUCUUGACUUCUCUGUCUAGCCCGUACCUGCAAACCUGGGGUUAGGGGAGAGGGGUGAGCUAAAAAGCCCAGUGAGCAGAAUAGUAAAAAUAUUGAAUUUAUAUUUCAUGCCUUCAUGAAAUGCAACAUAGCACAAACAAAUCACAUCAAUGAUGAACUUGUCACCAAUAGUCCUCUACAUAAUCCAAACAUGCCAGGGGCGUAGAAUGGGCCUCACUGGUCUUUCUCUUAACAUAUCAUAUCAUACAUAUCAUUCCAUAGUGCCAGGGGCGUAGAAUGGGUCUCACUGGUCUUUCUCUUUCUCUGUGCCAGGGGCGUAGAAUGGGCCUCACUGGUCUUUCCAUACCGUAUCAUCAUCAUGCUAUAACAUAUGAGGACUAAAGGAUCAUUCAAUAUUCAUCCACAUCAUCAUCAAGUUAUACAAUGCAACAUAUUCGUGAUUCUAAUGCAAACAACCUAGUACAUCUCAUGGCAUACGUGAUGCAUGUAUCAUGCUCAACAUUUAUUUAUUAGUUUGAAACUUAAGAAGUUAUUCCACUCACCUCUGGCUAGCUCUGACCAGACACUGGGGCAGCUGACUCACUGCUGGGGUCCUCGGUUCCUCGGGUCCGAACCUACACAGGUGGACUCAAAUGAGGGACCAAACAUACUGAAACAUAACUCUAAACUACUCCCCAAAAACCCCCUAAAACAUCAUAAAACAUUAAUGCAAAAACAUGCAAGAAAUGGCUGAACAGGGCACUUUCGGCGGCAGGUUCGGCGGCCGAAAGUCCCUCCAAAGCCGAAAGUCAGGCAGGUUCGGCGGCACCUUCGGCGGCCGAAACUCCCAGACAGAGACGAAACUCAUGCAUGUUUGGGGGCACCUUCGGCGGCCGAAACUGCCCGACAGAGCCGAAACUCCUCUUUCGGGGGCAAGCUUCGGCAGCCGAAUGCUGCCUCCACAAGAGGGUUCGGCGGCCGAAAGUCCCCUUCGGCAGCCGAACCUGGUUUCUCCCAAAAGGGCAGAAACUCUGCUCAACAUGCACAAAUGCCUCCCAACUCCUCCAUCAUGCACAAACCUAUGCUACAACACUCCCAAACAUGCAUAUAAGCUCCUAGGGGCUCCAAACUAUCCUAAGCCCCAACUACAACACAACAAACAUGCAUAUCACAAGCCACAUUGUACAAAAUCAUGCAUAAAACCCAUAAACUCUACUUAAGCUUACUCAUGCAUUUCUACCCCAUGAACUUGCAUAAAACUUGUUUAAAACAUAAAAUGAACUUAAGAUCGGCUCUUACCUCUUGAAGAUCGAGAAUGAGUCGACUUAAACUCGGAGAUGGGAGAUCUUUAUCUUCCUUGGGUCUCCAAGCUCAAAACUUGCUUAAAAUCGUCAAAUACCUUCAAAUCGACAAAAACAUUGUUAAAAACGAAAGAUCUGAAGGAAAAGCAUUGAAAACAACCUUAGGAGGGCAUAAGCUCACCGUGGCCGAAAAUGGGGAGAAAACUCGCCCGUUUCGGCCAUGGAACUCAUAUAUAGGGGCUGCCAGACCACCUUUCGGCUGCCGAACGUGCCCCCACAUCUCAUGCAUGUUCGGCGGCCGAACAUGAGGUUCGGCGGCCGAACCUUUAAAACUUUCGGAAGCCUAACUUACCCUCCAAAACCAUCCCAUGUUCGGCGGCCGAACUUGGGGUUCGGCGGCGAAACCUGGAAAAGUCUCCUUAGUCUUUUUCAUACAAAACUCAGUUUCCUUUUUAUUUAAAAACAUUAAAUACAUGAAAAACAUUUGUGAAAACAUGAUUCUACCCUUCUAGAGGUCUCUGACAUCCAAAUUCCACCGGACGGUAGGAAUUCCAGUACCGGAAUCUAGCCGGAUAUUACAUUUUAAUAUUUUUAAAAUUAAACAUUUAAAUAUCUUUAUAAUUAAACUUUUCAUAUAUUUAUUUUUAUUAAAAAUAUAAAAAUAUUUUUAUUAUUUUUUAAAUUAAAAAUAUUAAUAAAUUAGAUUUCAUUCAUUUCACUCAUUUAUUAAAAUUUAAAUAGCUAAAUUUAUUUUUUAUUUUUUAUUUGAUAUAAUACUUAAAAUUAAAUUUUAUCUAAAUUAUCACAUUCAAUUAAUUUUUAAUAUUUUUACUAUUUAAUUUCUAUUCAUUAAAAUAUUUUAAUAUUAAAUAAUUUCAAAAUUUUUAAAAGUAUUUAUAAAUUUAAUAAUUUUUAAAUUGUAUUAUAUAUUUAUAAAUAAUAAACUUUACGCCGUAUUCUUAGAGAAAAAAAAUUAUAUUUUUAGAAAUUUGAUAAUAAAGUAGCUUUUAACUAAUAUAUAUAAUGUUUAAAAAAAUUGAAUAUAAAAAAUUUACAAUUUUAGUUUUAAAAAUAUAAGAUUAAUUUAUUAAUUAUAUUUAAAAUUUAGAUAUAAAAUUAUAAUUUAUGCCAUAUAAAUAAUUUUAUCUACAUUAUUAUAUUUAUUAAAUUAUUUUAAAUAUUUAUUUUUUAAUUUAUUAAUUGAUAUAUUUUUUAAAAUUAAUAAAUUUUUUAUAUAAAUAAAAACCUACAUAAUAUAUUAGAUUCAAAUCCCAACAAGUCAAGAUACGACUAACAAGAGAGAUGGGCCCGCUGGCUAUGGAUGAGUAAAGACUGGUGAAUACUGAAUAGAAGGGUAUGUAAGAGUUGACCGGCGAUGACUGCUUAUAGUUAUAUAAUUAAAUUAAGCGUGGGUAUUAAAUUUUUUUAUAUUAUUAUUAUAUAACAUUAUUUUAUAAAAUAAUAUUUUUUUAGUAUAAAUUUACUUCACUUGUUAAGAAAAAUAAAAUAUUUAUUUAAAAAUUUUAAAUUCAAAAUAAUAAUUAAAUACAAAUUUAUGCACUAUAAAUCUCAAUUGUAACAAAUAAAAUUAAAAAUUUCAAUAAAUAAUAUAUAUUAAUAAAUUUAUUCAACAAAUUAUAUUUUAAAAAAAAUAAAGUUUAUUAAAUUGAAUAAAUCUCAAUUAUAGCAAAUAAAGUUUAUAAAUGGAAUAGAGAAUGAAAGAAUUAUUUUAUUGAUAAGAAAAAAAUAUAAAAUAUUUUAAUAAAUUUUUAAAAAUUUAUGGACUGACUUAUUAAUAAUGAUAAUAUUUAAAAAUUAAAUUAUAAUUUUUUUAUAAUUAUUACACUUAUUAAUAAUAUAAAAUAAAAUAAAUUUCAUUUAAACAAUUAAGUUCAUUUUUCAUUUGAAAAAAUAUUUAAAUUCUCAUUAAACUUUGUUUAACCUAUCACAUUCAAUUAAUUACUAUUUAAUUUUUAUUUAUUAAAAUAUUUUAAUAUCAUAUAACUUCAAAAUUUAAAAAAAAAAUUAUAAAUUUAAUAUUUUUAAAUGGUAUCAAAUAUUUAUAGAUUAUAGACUUUAUACUAUAUUUUAAAAAAAAAUUAUAUUUUCAAAAGUUUGUUCAUUUAGUAAUUUUUAAUUAAUAUUUAUAAUAAAUAAAAAAAUUAUAAUUUUAGAUAAAUUAAAUAUAAAAAAUUUAAGAGUUUAAUUUUAAAAAAUAUAAAAAUUAAUCUAUUAAUUAUUAAAAUUUAAAUAUAAAAUUAUAAUUUAUAUAAUAUAAAAAAAUUUAUCCAUGUUACUUUAUUUAUUAAGUUAUUUUAACUUGUGAACUAAUAUGGAUAGAAAAAUAAUAGAACCACCUCUGAUUUGAGAGCAGAGAAUUAAUGGAGUUGACGAGCGAUGACUUGAUUGCAAUUUCCAGCCAAGGAAUUAAAUUGCUUUGUCCUUUGCUUUUAUAAAGUAAGGCCCAUUGCACGUCAAUAUUCUAAAUUUAUUUUAAAUAAAUUAAUAAUUUUUUUUUAAAUUAUAAAAAUUAAAUAAUAAAAUUUUUAAAAACAAAAAUUAAUAGAAUAAAUAAUCAGUAAAUAUUUUAAAAUAUUAUAAUAUUUUUAUAUAUUUUUUAAAAUUAAAAAAUUUCUUUAUAGCAUAAAGAAUAAAUAUUAAUUUUUAUUUUAAUUUGACAUUGACUCGAUCAUGAAAUUUUUGUUUUUAUCGGUACUAAAUACAUAAAUUAUAAUUUAAUUUAUUUUAAUUUUAGUUUGUUUGGUGUCAGUCAAUCGACACAUACAAAAUUUAAAAAUUUCACUCAUAUUAUUAUAUUUAUCAAAUUAUUUUAAAUGUUUAAAAUAUUUAUUUUUAAAUUUAUUAAUUAAUAUAAUUAUGGAUGUAAAAAAUCUCUAAAAUUAUAGAGGACCUCUGAUUUGAGAGCAGAAUAGAGAUAGGAAGCAGAGAAAUGAAGAACACAAGUGUGAGAGGGUGAAUAGAGGUUAGGUAGGAGUUGACGAGUGAUGACUUGAUUGCAAUUUGCAGAAAAAGAAUUAAAUUGCUUUGUCCUUUGCUUUUAUUUUUUAAUAAAUAAAAUCAAAAAUUUUAUAAAAUAGUAAUAAUAUUUUAAAGGGAGAUUUAUAAUUUAAUUUCUAGAUAUUAUUAUUAUUAAUAAAUCAAUAUUUAUAUUUUUAAAAAUUUAUUAAAAUAUUUUUAUAUUUUCUUUUUCGUCGAUAAAAUGGUCAUUCCGUCCUCUAUUAAAAUAUUUUUAUAUUUUCUUUUCCAUCAAUAAAAUAGUCAUUCCGUCCUCUUUUCCGUUAAAAUUAGAUAAAAGGUAAGAGAUAAAAUUUUUAAAUUCCAAUUUUAUCCUCAAAUAAAAUAUUUUAUUUAAUUCUUAUCGUUUCUUUUCGUCAACGAAAUAAUUCCUAUAUUUUUUACAUCUAUUAAAACGUUCUUAUCGUUUCUUUUCGUCAACGAAAUAGCUCUUCCUCUCUCGACCUUCUCCUCUCCACCUCCUCCUCCUUCCUCCUCUUCCUCCUCUUCCUCCUCCUCCUCAUUAUCAUCAUCAUUAAAAAAGAAAAAAAAAAGAAAAUGAUGAUGAUAAUGAUGAAGGAGAAGAAGAAAAAGAAGAAGGAGAAGGAGAAGAAGAAAAAGAAGAAGGAGAAGGAGAAGAAGCAGAAGUGAAGAAAAAGCAGAAGAAGCAGAAGUAGAAGUGAAGAAUCGAAAAAGAAAGAGGAAGAAUCGAUGAAGAAGAAAGAGGAGGAGAAAAAGGAAAAGAAGGAGGACAAUUUGGUCUUUUAAUAUAUUUUUAACUGCAAAAAUAAAUAGAAUGACUAUUUCGUUGACGGAUAAAAAAGAUAAGUACGUUUUAAUAGAUUUCUAAAAAUACAGAGACUUGACUGAUUAAUAAUGCCAAUAUCCAAGAACUAAAUUAUACAUCUCCCUAAUUUAAAUUUAAUAUAUCAUAUUUUCUUCCACACCUUAUAUAUAUUGGAUCAUUAAUUAUGGACUGCAUCAUCUCUCACAAAUCCUGAAAUUUUCCUUUAAUUUCUUCAUUUUCAUCUUUGCUCAUUUUCAGUUUUUUUCUUUCUAUCGAUGGCUGAACAAAUCCCAUUUAGCAUUGCGGAAAACUUACUAAUAAAGUUGGCCUCAAUUGCUUCUGAAGAAGUUAGUUUGGUGUAUGGCUUCAAAAAGGAUCUUAGGAAGCUUCAAACUACUCUCUCCACCAUCAAAGCAAUACUUGUGGAUGCUGAGGAGAAGCAAGAGGAGAGCCUUGCAGUGAAGAACUGGGUAAGGAGGCUUAGAGAGGUUGUCUAUGAUGCAGAUGACUUGUUCGAUGAUUUUGCAACUGAAGGUUUGAGAAGGAAGGCUGAAGGUGAGGGAAGAAUGGUUAGGAAGGUAUGCGACUUCUUUUCUUCCUCCAAUCAAAUUGCAUUUCGUUUCAAGAUGGGUCAUAGUAUUAAAGAUAUUAGAGAGAGGCUGGAUGAAAUCGCCAAAGAAAUAUCUGACUUUGGCUUUAUAAUUAGGAAGGAAGUUGGAGUAUGUAUGGGAAUAAAGAAUAGUUGGAGGGAGACAGAUUCCUUUGUAUUGAAAUCAGAAAUUGUAGGAAGAGAUGAAGAUAAGGAGAAGAUCAUAGAAUCAUUGAUGUGUCCAGUCAAUCAAAGCAAUAUUUCUGUAGUUGCAAUUGUAGGGUUUGGUGGCUUAGGAAAGACUGCACUUGCCCAAUUAGUGUUUAAUGAUGAGAAAGUGGUGAAUUAUUUUGAUUUGAAGUUAUGGGUAUGUGUUUCUGAGGAGUCAAAUGUUGAAACACUAGUUAAACUCAUCCUUAAAAGUGCAAGCAAUAAUGAAGUGCCCAACUUGUCUUUGGAACAGUUACAGAUUCGCCUUAGACAAUGUUUAGAAGGCAAAAAGUACUUGUUGGUGUUGGAUGAUGUGUGGAAUGUAAACAAUAGGAUUUGGAGUCACUUGAGGAAAUAUUUGAUGGUUGGUGCCAUUGGGAGUAGAAUUUUAGUAACUAGUCGUAGUAAGAGGGUUGCUUUAGCUAUGGGUGUAGACUCUCCAUAUGCUUUACAGGGUCUUACUGAAGAUCAAUCAUGGGAGCUAUUUGAGAAGCUAACAUUUAGAGAGGGAACAGGAAGAGUGAAUUCAAAUCUAAUAGAAAUUGGAAAAGAAAUGGCAAAGAAAUGCAAAGGAGUUCCACUUGCAAUUAAAGCUAUAGGAGGCAUAAUGCAACUAAGAAGUAGUGAAAGUGAAUGGUUGUCUGUCCUAGAAAAUGAGUUGUGGAAGGUAUUCGAGAGUGAUGGUGAUAUUAGUCAAGUGUUGAAAUUGAGUUAUGAUGUCUUACCAUACCAUUUAAAGCAGUGUUUUGCAUAUUGCGCAAUGUUUCCAAAAGAUUUUGCGUUUGUUAAGGAUAAAUUAAUUCAGUUGUGGAUGGCACAAGGCUAUGUUCAAUCUCAAAGUCAAAGUGAAAAUGAAAAUUUAGAGGAGAUUGGGGAAGGAUACUUCAAUGAAUUGUUAUUUAGGUCAUUUUUCCAAAAGGAUGAGUAUUGUUAUAAAAUGCAUGACCUUAUCCAUGACCUUGCACAGUCAAUAGCAGGGGAUAGUUGUUUUGCAGUUGAUGAUAAUACUAAACAUAUUCCUGAUAGAGUCCAACAUGUGUUCUCUGGAAAUUUGUCUUUUGAGGAAUGCUUCAGGCAGCUAAAAAAUAAAGGAUUGAGGACACUGUAUUGUCCAUAUAUUGGUGAUGGAUUAAGGUUGAAUUUAGAUAGUAUCUUUUCAAAUUGUAGGAGCAUACGUGCUUUGAGUUUUGGAUGGAAUAUCAAUGGAUUGCCAGAUUCAAUUGGAAAGUUGAAACACCUGAGGUAUCUUGAAUUUUUUAGUUCUAAUAUCAGUUCACUUCCAAACUGCAUUUGCAGCUUGUAUAAUUUGCAAACUCUAAU